rnacentral:misc_RNA from 1 species
AACGCACCUUGCACCCUUUGGUAUUCCGAGGGGUACACCCGUUUGAGUGUCAUUGUAAUCUCACUCCGACAACUUUAUUGUUGUCUGGAGGUGGACUUGGACCUUGCCGUGUCACAACGGCUGGUCUGAAAUGCAUGAGUGCACCCUGCUGUAGCAGCGUCUUCAGUGUGAUAAGUAUCUUCACUGAUUCAAGUUCCCUUGGGACACGCUCGUCUGGUGGGCUCUGGGCUUCUAACCGUCCGCAUGGACAAGCUUUGACAAUUUGACCUCAAAUCGGGUGGGAUUACCCGCUGAACUUAA